rnacentral:rRNA from 1 species
AUUGAACGCUGGCGGCAGGCCUAACACAUGCAAGUCGAGCGAGCGGCGGACGGGUGAGUAAUGUAUGGGGACUGCCCGAUAGAGGGGGAUAACUACUGGAAACGGUAGCUAAUACCGCAUACUAUCGGAUAACCCAUAUGGGAUUAGCUAGUAGGUGAGGUAAUGGCUCACCUAGGCGACGAUCCCUAGCUGGUCUGAGAGGAUGAUCAGCCACACUGGGACGGAGACACGGCCCAGACUCCUACGGAGGCAGCAGUGGGGAAUCUUGGGCAAUGGGCGAAAGCCUGACCGAGCAACGCCGCGUGAGUGAAGAAGGCUUUCGGAUCGUAAAACACUGUUGUUAGAGAAGCGUUACCUACCCAAAAAGCCACGGCUAACUACGUGCCAGCAGCCGCGGUAAUAC